AAAUGAAGAUUAAACAUAAAUUACAGCUGUAAAACAAGGUAAUCAGAAAUGUGAACAUGACAGUAUUAGGACAGCCGUGUGCCUUAAUCUGAUGCCUACAGGUAUGCAUACCUAUUGGUAUACAUACUGUGAGAACUACUACAUGAUCACAUACUGUGUUUUUCCAUCGAGUCCCUAUUCUGUUUAUUGAAUGGCAUGGACAGAGAUUGCUGAAUGAGACAGGUGAUCAAUUUUCAUUUAUUUAUGUAUUUUUAACCUUGUUUUCUUAAGAAAUGAUCUUCCUGUUAUUGUCUGCUGCCCACUUUUCUCUCUAAUGCCUUUAAGUCUAGUGGACUCACCAUGCUCCUCACAAUGCUGUCCCAGCAGCAGGCAGACACCAGACAAGGAAUUUUUAUAGCAUCAUGGACUUUCUUCUGGCAAAUGAGCACCUCACAAGUACUAAAAAGCUGUUCUGGUUUUGGUCCUUUGGAAUACAGAGAAAACCAGCUUGAACCCCAAAAUGGCUGUUUUGCACCUGUCUUCUGCCUCAUCCUGCUGGAUGGUCUGGUAGUGGGGUCUGCUGCAGAACGACCCUCUCACUACGAAUACAGAUGACUUUCUGGCUUCUGUGGACCUUCCGUAGAGGACAACUCCAUCCAGCCAAAUUUAACAAAUGAGACACUAGUAUAUAAUAAGUAUAUAACAUUGAAUGUAUGCUAAGUCACUAUAGAAACAUUUACUACUAAAUAAAUGC
rnacentral:lncRNA from 1 species